rnacentral:rRNA from 1 species
UACAGAGGUGGCAAGCGUUGUUCGGAAUUACUGGGCGUAAAGGGCGCGUAGGCGGCCCGUCAAGUCCCGUGUGAAAGCCCCCGGCUCAACCGGGGAACUGCACGGGAAACUAGCAGGCUUGAGUUCGGGAGAGGGAAGCGGAAUUUCGGGUGUAGCGGUGAAAUGCGCAGAUAUCCGAAGGAACACCGGUGGCGAAGGCGGAUCUCUGGGCUGGAACUGACGCUGAGGAGCGAAAGCGUGGGUAGCAAACAGG